CUCCGCGGAGGGGGCGGCCGAGGGUGGAGCGGCGGUAGCUCCGCGGACCGGGGCGAGGGAAGAUCGGUUCCGCCGCCCCCUGGGCGCCCCUCGCCGCCUGAACCGGCCGGCCCGGAAGCCGUACCCUCAUCCCCUUCUCUCUCCCUCCACCAUGUUCAAGAAGCUGAAGCAGAAGAUCAGCGAGGAGCAAGUGCUGCCGCGCGGAGCGGGGGGACGCGCGGGCUCCCUCCCACCGCAGGUCCCUUCCAAAUCCCCUCCGUCAACUGGCAACAUAAUCAGGACAACUUCAUUUACAGAUCAGAAUGAUGAAGGCACUUUAACACCAGACAAAGAGCUGAUAGCCGGGAUGAUAGCAGAACCUGCUUUUCUCUCUGAGUAUACUAUCUUUGCUUUGGAUCCCACCAAACAACCUAAGCCACAGACUGAUGGUGUGAACUUGAAUAAACAACCACUUCCUGGAUCCACAGAAAACAAUGGAAGUGAACUUGUCUUUCCACAGCAAAGUGACAGUCAGUCUUUUGCCCAGAGGCUUCAGCUUCGAGUUCCCUCCAUGGAGUCUUUGUUUCGAAGCCCAGUUAAAGAGACCCUAUUUCGCUCUUCUUCUAAAGAGUCCUUGGUACGAAGUUCUUCAAGAGACUCACUGAAUCGACAGGACUUGGAAGCCCUCAGUCCCACCUUUGAUUCACCUUCUGACAUUGAAAGUGAAACAGAAGAGCCUCUAGGAAAUAUGGACAGCUUCAGCAAAGAGCAGUUGCUGCAGCGUCUGCGUAGAAUGGAGCGCAGUUUGGGCAACUAUAGGGGAAAAUACUCAGAGCUAGUGUCCGCUUAUCAAGUUAUCCAGCGGGAAAAAAAGAAGCUACAGAGCAUUCUGAGUCAAAGCCAGGAUAAAGCACUUCGCAGAAUUGGAGAACUGAGAGAGGAGCUCCAGAUGGAUCAACAAGCUAAGAAACAUCUCCAAGAGGAAUUUGAUGCUUCCUUAGAAGAAAAGGAUCAACUUAUUAGUGUCUUACAAACUCAGGUGUCAUUGCUGAAACAGAGAUUACAGAAUGGUCAGAUAGGCACUGAAUUGCCUGAUCAAAAUGUCCAAUCAGAACCAGAAGUUCAAAGUCCAAUGAAAGAAGUCAAUGCAGAAAAUAUUGUGGAACCAGGAAGCAAUGAGGGUAAUGAAGAUUCUGUUAAAACACUGGAAACUCUUAGUCAGAGGGUGAAGCGCCAAGAGAACUUGCUGCAACGUUGUAAGGAGACUAUUCGGUCACAUAAGGAGUGCUGUGCUCAAUUAACCAACGAGAAAGAGGCACUUCAAGAACAACUGGAAGAGAGGCUUCAGGAACUGGAGAAAAUAAAGGACCUUCACAUGGCUGAGAAGACUAAACUGAUUACGCAGCUACGUGAUGCAAAGAAUUUGAUUGAACAGCUAGAACAAGACAAGGGUAUGGUAAUUGCGGAGACAAAGCGGCAAAUGCAUGAAACAUUAGAAAUGAAGGAGGAGGAGAUAGCCCAACUGCGUGCUCGAAUCAAACAAAUAACUACAAAAGGCGAGGAAUUAAAAGAACAGAAAGAAAAAUCUGAAAAAGCUGCUUUUGAAGAGCUUGAGAAGGCUCUAAGUAUUGCCCAAAAGACAGAGGAAGCCCGGAAAAAACUGCAGACAGAAAUGGAUGAAAAAAUUAAAGCAGUAGAAAAGGCAAGUGAAGAAGAGAGAGUAAAUCUUCAGCGGGAAUUAACCAGAGUCAAACAAGAGGUGGUUGAGAUUAUGAAGAAGUCUUCAGAGGAACGAGUUGCUGAACUAGAAAAAAUCCAUAAAAAAGAACUGGCUACCAAAGAUCGGGAGCUAAAUGAGAGACUACAAGCUCAAGAAAAGGUACUUCAGGAGAAGAUGAAGGCAGCUCUUGAAAAAAAUCAGAAUGAGUGCUUAAAAGCCCUUCAAGAGCAAGAGCAGCAAGAAUCCCUAGCCUUAGAAGAAUUAGAGCUGCAGAAGAAAGCCAUACAGUCUGAGUGUGACAAGAAAGUUCAGAACAUGCAUCAAGAAGUAGAGGCUUGUAGAACUAGGAUUCUUGAACUGGAAAGCUGUCUUGCAAAGUAUUUGCAAGAUGACAGAAAGCAGUCAGAGGAAUUAAAUACUCUUAUAGAGUCUGAAAAAAACCAGCACAGUAAGGAAAUCAAUGACAUAGUUGAGAAACACAAUAAAGAACUAGAGAACAUGAAACAACAGCAAGAAAAGCUUUGGACAGAAAAACUUGAAAUUUUAAAGCAACAACAUAAAACUGAAAUAGAAAAAAUAAGAGAGAAACAACAAGAAGAGAUACAAGCAAUUUUGAAAGAAAAAGAAACAAUUUUCUGUGCGCACAUAGAGGAGAUGAAUGAAAAAACAUUAGAAAAACUUGAUGUGAAACAAACAGAAUUAGAAGCACUGUCUUCUGAGCUAUCAGAAGCACUAAAAAUACGUCAUGAUUUAGAACAAGAGCUCUCAGAAUUAAAUAGUAAUGUGUGUGAAGCAAAGCAAGAAUUGAAAGGAAAGUUGGAAGAAGAGAGGAAACGUCACAAAGAAGUGAUUGAAACAAUGUUAAAAGAGCAUGAAAUGUCAAUUCAAAGUGUUGAGAAGGUACUCAAAGAGGAGCUCAACAAACUCAAACAGUCACUGGAGGAGAAAGACAAACAUUUAGAGGCGUUAAAAGCACAGGAACGGAAAAUGAAAGAAUCUGCAGAAAGAUCUGAAGCUGAACUUUUGCAAAUGUCUGUAAAACUAGAGGAGCAAAGCAAUGAAAAUACACAGAAAGUAACCACUAUAACACAACAAUAUGAAUGUCAACUGAAGGACCUAGAAAGAAAGGCUGAUGAGAUGAUGGUAAGUCUGACUGAAAAGGAAAAUGAAAUGGAGCACGUGAAGAAGUUACAGAACAAGCAAAUGGAAGAGCUUAAACAGAAACUGUUAGCUGCAGAGGAGAGAAUUAGUGCUAUACAAGGAGAGUAUGAAAGUAAACUGAAAUGUCAGGAGAAGAAAGUGGAGAAAAUGAAACAGAAAUCAAAAGAUAUGCAGGAAACUUUCCAAAAUAAACUUGCUGAGCAGGAAGCUAAACUAAAAAAAGAGCUUGAAAACAAGCAGUUGGAAUUCAGUCAGAAAGAGAGUGAAUUCAAUACUAAAAUUUUGGAAAUGGCACAUGCCAGCUCAUCUGGAAUCAAUGAUGCAGUGUCAAAAUUGGAAUCUAAUCAGAAAGAGCAACUAGACAGUCUUGCUGAGGACCACAGGAGGAAAUUGGAAGAAGUAAUCCAAAUUUGGGAAAAGAAACUUAAUCAGCAGAUUGAAGAGCUCAAGGAAAAACAUGAUAUGGAACUGCAAGAGAAAGAGCAGGAAGUUGGAGACCUGAAACAGAAGCUUUUCAUCUUCAGUGCUGAAAAGGAGGACUCCAGAGCAGAAAUAAUCCAACUGAAGGAAGAACAAGUGAAAAGGGAGGAGUGCCUGAAGGAAUUGCAAGAACAGCUGAGGCAGUCAGUGGCUAAGGUGAAUGCUUUGUCAGAUAAGGAAAGUGACCUGAAAACACAGUUGGAAAAAUUGGAAAGUGAUCUUAAACAGUCCCUGAAACAGCAGACAGGACUUCAGGAACAGCUCAGUAAACAGAAAGGAGUUGAAGAAAAGGACAAAGCCAAAAUUACUGAGUUGGCUGAUACACUGAGAACCCUUGAAGAGAAACUCCAAACUGUGCAAUCUUCUCAGUAUAAAGAUAAUGAAAAUUAUGAGAAAAAAAUAGAGGCAAUUCGGCUAAAGGAAAUUGAGUUUAAAAAGUUGUCAAGAGAACUUAAAGCCCAGAUAGAUGCUUGUAAGAAUGCUAAAGCUGCAUUUCAAACGAAGACCAAUGAAUUCAUUGAAAAAUGUAGUGAAAAAAUUGACAUAGUAACAUGUCAAAUUGCAGACUGUGAGCGCCAAACUGCAAAAGUUAAAGAAGCAAUAUUAAUCAAAACAAGUAAGAUAACUGAACUAGAAGCUCAAAUAAGAGAAAUAACAGAGCAAUAUUCUGCUGCUACAACUUCUUUGCAAAAGUCAAUGCAAGAACUGCAGGAGAAGGAAAAUUUAAUUAUGUCCAUGAGAGCUGAUAUUGAAGAACUUGUAACAGAAAAGGAACGAUUGCAAAAAGAGGGAGGACAUCAACAGCAAGCAGCAUCAGAGAAAGAAAGUUGCAUAACACAGCUGAGGAAAGAGUUAUCUGAAAAUAUUAAUGCUGUCACAUCAAUGAGGGAAGAACUCCAAGAAAAACAAUCUGAAGUGUCUGCUCUCAACAAAACAGUUACUGACCUUAAUGUUAGACUUGAAAGCACAGUAAGUUUAACAGAGAAGGAAGCAGUCAUAUCUCUCUUAAGCAAACAACAUCAAGAGGAUCGGUUGCAGUUGUUAAGUCAAGUAGAAGAGUUAUCAUCCAGAGUUGAGAUGCUGAGUCAAGAAAAAGCAUCAGCUCUUGAUCAGAUAGAUCAUUUCACAGCGCAGCUGUCAGAGUGGAAGAUGAAAGCAGAAACCAGGUUUACACAAAAUCAUGCUACUAUCAAAGAUUUGCAGAGCAAACUUGAAUUAAGCAAUGCUGAAGCCAAUAAAAAAGAUGAAGAGCUAAAUAAACUGAAGGAACAGCUGGCUAAACAAAGCAGGAAUCUUGAUAGUUUAAAAAGUGAAUUGGAACAAAAGCAAAACAGGAGAGAAAAGGAAGAAAAUCAGUUAACCUCAAAGUUAAAAAAACAAGCAGCAAAAAUUGCUGAACUAGAAAAAGACAUUGCUCAGAAAACUUUAGAAAAUGAUUCCUUGGUGGAGGAACUUAACAAGUGUAAUGAACAAAAAAACACAGAGAAAAAAGAAAUAGCUUGGCAACUCCAUCAGGCAGAGAAGGUGGCUUUUGAAAAGGAAAAUAGAGUUAAGAAGGCUGAAGAAAAAGUGCUUAAUCUUGAGAAGCAAAUAGGUUCACUGAAAGCUGAUUUUGAAGCAAAAGAGAAGGAAUUUGAUGAAAUGAAGUCAGUGAUACUUAAAAGGAAAGAGGAAGAACUGAAAGAAUUAGAAGAGAGACUGAAUGCAGAGAACAGCACAAAGUUGGCCGAUCUGAAAAAGAAGGCAGAGCAAAAAAUAGGUUCUAUUAGAAAGCAAUUACUGUCUCAGGUGGAAGAAAAGGAACAGCAAUUUAAGCAAGAUAUGCAGGAUCAAUUAAGAAAGUUGAAGCAGAAAGUACAGGAGAGAGAAGCCAAAAUUGAAUCCUUAGAAGAAAAAAUAAAGUCAAUAGGAGAUUCCACAGAAUUAGAGAAGGACAUGCUGGAAAAAGUAGAGAGUUUAAAAGCUGCUGUAGAACAAGAAAAAAAUAACUUACUUGAGAGUGUCCAACAGACAUACAAAGAGAAAAUGCAGGUAUUAGAGAAGGGCUUAACCGAAAAAGAUGCAUUGUUAGAGAAGCUGGAGAAGGAACAACGGGAGAGUAAUGACUGUCAUCUAGAACUGCAAAAGAAACAGAAAGAACUCCUUAAAAAACUAGAAUGUGUUGAGAAGAGCCAUCAGGAAGAGCAGGUUAGAACCAAAAGUCUCAGGAAAGAACUUGAGGAGCAAACCAAAAAAUAUUCAUUGUUAGUGGAUGAGCAUGCUUGUUGUAGUGGUGUUUUAGCAAGCAGUAGGGAAGAAUUGAAAGUUAAAGAACAAAAAUAUCUUGAUAUGGAGAAUAUGAUUGGAGAUUUACAGAAAAAAAUACAGGAAAAUGAGGCAGGCAGUCAGUCAUUAGAACAGAAGAUAAAAGAGUUAGAAAAUAAUAUAGUGAAGAAAAAUGAAGUGCAUAAGAUUGAGAUGGAGGAUAUGAGUUUAAGAUAUGAAGAAAAGCUAAAAUGUCUACAAGAACAAUUGGGUGAAAGAAAUGACAGUCUUAAAGCUUUUGAGGAAAAUGCUGAAGAAAAGGCCAGAUCUGUUUUGGAGCUGCAGAAGUUACUAGUUGAUAUGCAAAACCAGCAGAAGGACUUACAGACUAAACUGGAGGAGACUGAGCAGGAGAAACAGAAAUUAUGCAAAGAGGUGAAUAAUCUUCAAAAAGACAUGCGUACUCUGCGAAAGGAACAUCAGCAAGAGCUUGACAUAGUAAAGAAGGAGUCCCUAGAGGAAAUGGAGCAGAAAAUCAGAUCUGAACAAGAAGACAUUGAGUUAAAGCACAACUCUGCCCUAAAGCAGUUAAUAAGAGAGUUCAAUACUCAGCUGGCUCAAAAAGAGAGAGAAUUGGAAACAGCAGUAAAAGAGACAAUCAGUAAAGCCCAGGAGGUAGAACAUGAAUUGAUAGAAAAUCAUCACAUAGAGACAACACAGUUGCAAAAAAAAAUUGUUGAAAAAGAUGAUGAUUUAAAAAGAACUGUGAAAAAAUAUGAAGAAAUACUUGAGUCUCGUGAAGAAGAGAUGACAGCAAAAGUUCAUGAGUUGCAGGCACAGCUGGAGGACUUGCAGAAGGAAUACAAACAAAGGAUUGCGGAAGAGGAACAUUCCAUCAGUGAAAAAGUCACAGUAACAGAACUAAAGGCACAACUGGCACAGAAGACAACACUAGUCAAUGAUUCAAAACUGAUGGAGCAGGAAUUGAAAGAGCAGAUUCAUGUACUGGAAGACCGGCUGAAACAUUAUGAGAAAAAUACGUAUGUCACAUCAGUUGGAACACCAUAUAGAGAUGGAAACCUUCACCAUACUGACGUUUCCCUGUUUGAGGAACCCACUGAGUUUGAAUACUUGAGGAAAGUGCUCUUUGAAUAUAUGAUGGGUCGUGAGACAAAGACAAUGGCCAAGGUUAUAACAACAGUGCUGAAGUUCCCAGCAGAUCAGACUCAGAAGAUACUAGAACGAGAAGAUGCUCGACCAAUGUGUCCACAUUCAACUGGACUCCUUUUCUCCCUACUUCCCUCUUCUUCAGUGGAAUAUCACAUUCCAGCUCUAGGUUUGAGUUUAUAGCUACAGUGAGAAAAAAAAGCAAGCAUGUUUUCUUUACUAGUAUUUUUCUUCAGUUAGGACAUACUUCUGAUAGCAGUGGGUACAAUAAGACCAAAGCAAGUUCAAGCAUCACUACUAUUCUGUGGAUGUAUUUUCUAAAUUAAAAAGUAUCACAUCUGAGGAAAUUGCUAAAUACUUCAAACAUUUUCCUGUACACUUAGUAUGUUUGAGAGUCUUGCAAUCUUAAAUAUUUUAAAUACUUUUAGAAGAUAAAAAUAUUGAUUAUACUGCAGCUCCAUUUGCCUCACCUCGCAGUGGUAUCUUUUGAAUGUGCCACCAGUCUGUGCUUAGCUAGCGUGUCGUUGUGGCUACGACCAUCUUGAAGAUUUUGUGAUGAGAAUGUCAUGACAUUGCUGCUUAGAAAUACAUUUAUAUCUCUGUUCCCCUUGAGAAGGGACAAGAAGAAAAGCUAUUAUUCAAGGUUACAAACAGAACAGCAAGAACCAAAACUCGGCACCACCUUUGGACUGUGAAUACAAUAAAAACUGCCUUGGCAGAAAUGCUAAUCAGGGGUUAUUUGGUUAUUUCUCUUCUAUUGAAUACUGUCUUCUAUUUUGUGUUAGAGGUUAUUUUUUUAAAGGAGAGAAAAGACUUUAUCCUAGGAAAGAAUUGCCUGCUACUGUAUCUCUAUACAGAUUUUACUGGGUGUUUUUUAAAAGUUGAAAUAAAUGAUUUGUUUAUUUAUUUUUUUUUAUUUUUGAUUGAAUUGUGCAAUACAUCUUGGAUAGAUAGCAAUUGAGAUGAUUUUUCUGAUGAACUAGGCACUCUUGUUGACUAUUCUCUCCUGAUUUGAUCUUGAUUGUUUGCUAAAAGGUCACUUCUAUAUGCUUUUGCCUCCAAUAAAUCCAAAUUGCAGUACCUCGUUUGUUUACUCCUAGCUUUUGUACUUAUAUUUUCUGGAGAAAAGGUGUGUUCCUGUAAAUUGUAAAUAGUUACUACAUAACUGUAUUGUAUGCUGAUCUGUAACUGUUGACAACACUAAUAUGAAUAGAACUGAGAUGAAAUAAAGUUUAUUUACUGUAUAA